rnacentral:rRNA from 1 species
CGUAGGGUGCAAGCGUUAAUCGGAAUUACUGGGCGUAAAGCGUGCGCAGGCGGUUGUGUAAGUCUGUCGUGAAAUCCCCGGGCUCAACCUGGGAAUUGCGAUGGAGACUGCACGGCUAGAGUGUGUCAGAGGGGGGUAGAAUUCCACGUGUAGCAGUGAAAUGCGUAGAUAUGUGGAGGAACACCGAUGGCGAAGGCAGCCCCCUGGGAUAACACUGACGCUCAUGCACGAAAGCGUGGGGAGCAAACAGGAUUAGAUACCCUGGUAGUCCACGCCCUAAACGAUGUCAACUAGUUGUCGGGUCUUAAUUGACUUGGUAACGCAGCUAACGCGUGAAGUUGACCGCCUGGGGAGUACGGUCGCAAGAUUA